ACUCCUACGGGAGGCAGCAGUGGGGAAUAUUGCACAAUGGGGGAAACCCUGAUGCAGCCAUGCCGCGUGUGUGAAGAAGGCCUUCGGGUUGUAAAGCACUUUCAGUAGGGAGGAAGGUAGUGUAGUUAACACCUGCAUUAUUUGUACGUUACCUACAGAAGAAGCACCGGCUAACUCCGUGCCAGCAGCCGCGGUAAUACGGAGGGUGCGAGCGUUAAUCGGAAUUACUGGGCGUAAAGCGCAUGCAGGCGGCCUGUUAAGUCAGAUGUGAAAGCCCGGGGUCUUAACCUCGGAAUUGCAUUUGAAACUGGCAGGCUAGAGUCUUGUAGAGGGGUUAGAA
rnacentral:rRNA from 1 species